rnacentral:hammerhead_ribozyme from 1 species
GUCCAGCUGACGAGUCCAAAAUAGAACGAAACGCACAUCUUGAAU